AUGCCUUACUAAAUUCAUCACCAUUCAUCCUUACGAUAAAGGAAAUUUACCUCAACCUGAGGAGUAAUAAUGCUGAGAAUACCAUUUUUCCAGUUUUGAUCAUUAACAUUUCAGUGUGCUUCUUAGAAAAGAGUACGCAGUUUCUUUAUGGAAUCGUGUGGUCCUGGCACGGAGAUUAUUGAGCCAACGCUGGCUUUUUUCCAUGACCAACGUUCUGCUCCAUCCUUAUCUUCCCGACGUACGCUCAUCCAGCUUCUUACAUAAAAAAAACAACUUCACUGACGAGUUGGAACACUUCAGUGGUCGCUUCCGUGCCGCUGUUGCACACCUGCAGUCAUUCACCACGGGAUUAUGCCCAGGUAAUGCACGUCGAGAAGAUGGACACCAAAACGUCGACGGUAUCUCCAAAAUGUCAGCGCGGAUCAUCAUUUGUUGUUGGUAAUAUUUGUGUUUGUGUUAGUUAACCCGUUGUCUGCCACGCCUUUGUUCUCCCCUAGCUCCUUAAGCAUUGGCCGCGCCGAAAGGCCCUGUUAGGCAAUGCACCAUAGGGACUUCCCCCUUGUCAGCCCGGACUUGUCAGCAAUGGCAAGUCCCACCUUGGCCAUGGAUCCUUCAGACGUGGCGCGUAGAAUAGUAGAUAGUACAACCUACUGGUUGUAUGGCGUGGCAGCCAACGGGUUAACUUAAGUGUAUGUGUGUAUGUAUAUGUGUAUGUCAUUGUAAAAUGU